CUGGGAUAUGGCGACAUGGUGCCAGAGACAAUAGCUGGCAAAAUUGUGGGCGGCGUCUGCUCGCUUAGCGGUGUGCUGGUCAUCGCCUUACCUGUACCUGUUAUCGUAUCGAAC
rfam:D.melanogaster Sha12 protein mRNA, complete cds.